rnacentral:lncRNA from 1 species
CAACAUUUCUUCCUUCCCCCAAUGGUCUGAGAGAGAGGAUAAAAAGGGCAGAAAAUGAGAAAUGUUGGAAAAAUAGGAAAGUGAAAUUCAAUGGAUCAUGAGGUACAAUUUGUAAGAAGAGUAAAAGAGGAAAUAAUUCUUUCAGGAUGUAGUAAGACAUCAGUUGCUUUGUGACAUCAUGAGAGUAACACAUUGAGCCUCCAGCUCCAAAGAGAAAGAGUGGAAGAUGAAUGUCCCCUAAUCCCUGCAUCAUGCUGCUCAUGUUCAGUUCACACUUAGCCAGACACGCACGGGUCCAGGAUGACAGCAAGCUGACCUGCAUGACAGAACAUUAUAGCCCCCCUGCCAAAAAAAUCUAUCAAGUUCACGAGGCCCAACCAAACCUUACCCACUCUAGCUGUGGCUCUGUGACUAAACUCUGGCCAAUGAGAUGUCAAAGAAUGUCUUACGUGGGACUUGCUGGAAGUUUCCUUAAGAGGAAUUCGACUCAGCUCCCCAGAUGCCCUGGACAGAGGGGGACGUGUGGCCCCCAACAGUCACCAUGGAGUUAACUCAUAUUUCCCAGGCCUGGCACAUGUUCAGUCAAAAACCUGGCGGAGUGCCUGUUGUUUACUGAAGCUGGGGAAGAAGCAUCUGCAACAUUACGAAAAGCAUAUUGUAAAAGGCAACACAUGCAAAUUAAACCUCUUGAGCUAUGAGUAAAUUGCUGGGAAAAUUUAUAACUCAUUUA